AUACAUGCAAGUCGAGCGGACAGAUGGGAGCUUGCUCCCUGAUGUUAGCGGCGGACGGGUGAGUAACACGUGGGUAACCUGCCUGUAAGACUGGGAUAACUCCGGGAAACCGGGGCUAAUACCGGAUGGUUGUUUGAACCGCAUGGUUCAGACAUAAAAGGUGGCUUCGGCUACCACUUACAGAUGGACCCGCGGCGCAUUAGCUAGUUGGUGAGGUAACGGCUCACCAAGGCAACGAUGCGUAGCCGACCUGAGAGGGUGAUCGGCCACACUGGGACUGAGACACGGCCCAGACUCCUACGGGAGGCAGCAGUAGGGAAUCUUCCGCAAUGGACGAAAGUCUGACGGAGCAACGCCGCGUGAGUGAUGAAGGUUUUCGGAUCGUAAAGCUCUGUUGUUAGGGAAGAACAAGUGCCGUUCAAAUAGGGCGGCACCUUGACGGUACCUAACCAGAAAGCCACGGCUAACUACGUGCCAGCAGCCGCGGUAAUACGUAGGUGGCAAGCGUUGUCCGGAAUUAUUGGGCGUAAAGGGCUCGCAGGCGGUUUCUUAAGUCUGAUGUGAAAGCCCCCGGCUCAACCGGGGAGGGUCAUUGGAAACUGGGGAACUUGAGUGCAGAAGAGGAGAGUGGAAUUCCACGUGUAGCGGUGAAAUGCGUAGAGAUGUGGAGGAACACCAGUGGCGAAGGCGACUCUCUGGUCUGUAACUGACGCUGAGGAGCGAAAGCGUGGGGAGCGAACAGGAUUAG
rnacentral:rRNA from 1 species